rnacentral:rRNA from 1 species
GAUGAACGCUGGCGGCGUGCCUAAUACAUGCAAGUCGAGCGAACAGACGAGGAGCUUACUCCUCUGACGUUAGCGGCGGACGGGUGAGUAACACGUGGAUAACCUACCUAUAAGACUGGGAUAACUUCGGGAAACCGGAGCUAAUACCGGAUAAUAUAUUGAACCGCAUGGUUCAAUAGUGAAAGACGGUUUUGCUGUCACUUAUAGAUGGAUCCGCGCCGCAUUAGCUAGUUGGUAAGGUAACGGCUUACCAAGGCAACGAUGCGUAGCCGACCUGAGAGGGUGAUCGGCCACACUGGAACUGAGACACGGUCCAGACUCCUACGGGAGGCAGCAGUAGGGAAUCUUCCGCAAUGGGCGAAAGCUUGACGGAGCAACGCCGCGUGAGUGAUGAAGGUCUUCGGAUCGUAAAACUCUGUUAUUAGGGAAGAACAAAUGUGUAAGUAACUAUGCACGUCUUGACGGUACCUAAUCAGAAAGCCACGGCUAACUACGU